rnacentral:rRNA from 1 species
CCUACGGGAGGCAGCAGUGGGGAAUCUUGCGCAAUGGGCGAAAGCCUGACGCAGCCAUGCCGCGUGAAUGAUGAAGGUCUUAGGAUUGUAAAAAUUCUUUCACCGGGGACGAUAAUGACGGUACCCCGGAGAAGAAGCCCCGGCUAACUUCGUGCCAGCAGCCGCGGUAAUACGAAGGGGGGCUAGCGUUGCUCGGAAUUACUGGGCGUAAAGGGAGCGUAGGCGGAUAGUUUAGUCAGAGGUGAAAGCCCAGGGCUCAACCUUGGAAUUGCCUUUGAUACUGGCUAUCUUGAGUAUGGGAGAGGUUAGCGGAACUCCGAGUGUAGAGGUGAAAUUCGUAGAUAUUCGGAAGAACACCAGUGGCGAAGGCGGCUAACUGGCCCAUUACUGACGCUGAGGCUCGAAAGCGUGGGGAGCAAACAGGAUUAGAUACCCUGGUAGUCCACGCCGUAAACGAUGAGUGCUAGUUGUCGGC